UGUGCUGUGAGGAGGAAGGGCUAGGAGGUUGUGCAAGGGACAGACUGGGUUAGGUGGCUGUGCGAGGGACAGGAAGGAGUGGUCUGGAAAUGCAGAAGGAAGGCAGAAGAAGGAGAGAAAGAGCCAGAGCUGUGUGGAGCUGCUUAUGGGGCUGCAACACAGAAAAGGAAAGAGCAUUGAGUCUGCUGGGACUAAUUGUGUCAGCAGGAGCCCCCUCAAACCCACAGCUGACAAGAGCAUAAAAAUAAUACCUUAAAGGGGCUGCUUUGGUCUUGGGUAGCUGGAAGUAUCUAUUUGUCCAUUUUAAA